rnacentral:misc_RNA from 1 species
GAUGAAGAACGUAGCGAAAUGCGAUAAGUAAUGUGAAUUGCAGAAUUCAGUGAACCAUCGAAUCUUUGAACGCACAUUGCGCCCGGCAGUAAUCUGCCGGGCAUGCCUGUCCGAGCGUCAUUUCUGCCCUCGAGCCUGUCCAGCAUCUAGGUGCUGUUCCGGCCCGGCGUUGGGGCACUACGGGAAGCCUCGUGCUAUCCCCCGUAGGCCCCGAAAUGAAGUGGCGGUCCUGCCGCGGCUCCCCCUGCGUAGUAUUACAGCUCGCUUCGGGACCCGGUGGAGGCCUGCCGUCAAACCUUACUCUCUAAGUUUGACCUCGGAUCAGGUAGGGUUACCCGCUGAACUUAAGCAUAUCAAUAAGCGGAGGA